CACGUAGAAGGCUAGUGUUAUUCAUCUUUAUUAGGUUUAAAGGGUACUUAGACGGGAAAUCCAGCCAUAAUAGGGACUAAUUUUCUAGAGUUUUAUGAGAGAAGGGGCGAAUUUCCGGAGGAAAGUUGAUAUUUUGUGAUACUGGAAGGACGGGUAACGGCGAAGGCAACCUUUUAUGUAAAACAUGACGUUGAGGGACGAAGCCUUGGGUAACGAGAAGG
rnacentral:rRNA from 1 species